AAACGAUUGAAGUCAGUCGUGUCUAUUGGUUUCAGCCGGUUCUGCCGGUGUAUUACCUUUAGACGGGUCAACAUCAGUUUUGGACGGUGGAAAAAGGCAAGGAGAAUGUGGCACCUUCGGGUGUGUUAUAGCUCUUUGUUGCAUACACUGUUUGAGACUGAGGACUGCAGCUCGCCUUUAUGGCCGGGGUUCGCCCACGUUACGAGCUUAGGAUGUUGACAUAAUGGCUUUAAACGA
rnacentral:rRNA from 1 species